rnacentral:rRNA from 1 species
AUUGAACGCUGGCGGCAGGCCUAACACAUGCAAGUCGAACGGUAACAGGAAGAAGCUUGCUUCUUUGCUGACGAGUGGCGGACGGGUGAGUAAUGUCUGGGAAACUGCCUGAUGGAGGGGGAUAACUACUGGAAACGGUAGCUAAUACCGCAUAACGUCGCAAGACCAAAGAGGGGGACCUUCGGGCCUCUUGCCAUCGGAUGUGCCCAGAUGGGAUUAGCUAGUAGGUGGGGUAACGGCUCACCUAGGCGACGAUCCCUAGCUGGUCUGAGAGGAUGACCAGCCACACUGGAACUGAGACACGGUCCAGACUCCUACGGGAGGCAGCAGUGGGGAAUAUUGCACAAUGGGCGCAAGCCUGUUGCAGCCAUGCCGCGUGUAUGAAGAAGGCCUUCGGGUUGUAAAGUACUUUCAGCGGGGAGGAAGGGAGUAAAGUUAAUACCUUGGCUCAUUGACGUUACCCGCAGAAGAAGCACCGGCUAACUCCGUG